rnacentral:sRNA from 1 species
CUGCGGUCCGGAGUUGAUGGGUUAUCUAUUAUUAUUAUGGAAGCUCAUCCUGCUCGCAGGUCGAGAAUAAACGAAAACAAAUUUCAAACAAAAUUCCAACAAAUAAAAAAUCAAAACAACGCGUUCUUACAUCAGAACAACCCCCGUCCUUCGGAACAACCCCCGUUUAAAAAUUCCCAUCAACACCAACUUGACCGCACU